AUGAACAAGGCGCGGCCAAGAGCCCCUUCCUUCACACGUGUAGACAAAGGGACCCAUCAACACAACCCAAACAUGCAGGGAAAAGUUUUCCCGUGCGCGCGACUCCACGCCAGCACCUCGCGAGGCGCCCAGGCCAGCAUGCACGGGACUUUCAGCAGACGCCCUCUGAAGGAUUUCAUUAAUGAUUAUUUUUCGCUGUGGAAUAUUUUUACUUUCCUUCUGGAUUAUUGGAUAUUCACAAUGAGAAUUACUUUCAUCGUAGCAUUAGACACCAUGGACAAACAUAAGCAAGUGUGGAGCUGGACAGCGCACAGUUUCCGCGGGAAACACUCAGAGCCGCACUGCAGCCCUCUUCUUUAUCAGAUGAAAGUGUGGGAUGAGUCACCCCUUCAUCUUCCUCUAACUCUUCACCAGAGUCCAGGAUCGAGUGAGCUCAGACUGCGUCGGAAGCAGCCAAGCAUCCAGCGCACGGCGUCUCUCUGCUAUGAUGUCAUUAGCAGCCAAUCAAACGCGAGCGGGAAUCGUACGAGCCAAUGGCACGCCAGGCGGCCCCGCCCACCGCACGCGCUGUCCAUGUUGGAAAUGAAGUAAUGCAGAGAAAAGCAGCCAGAAGUACACCGAGGUCUGGUGUGUGCUGCAGUCUCAGAGGAUGAGAGGACAGGUUCACCUGCUGGGAGGAAGAGGAGACUGAGAGGACACUGGAAUCAAGUGCUCAGAGUUUCAUUCACACUGAACACUUAACACAAGCGUUUAGAGGAGAUCUCACUCUGUUCUUCUGUUCUCUAACCUGUUCCUUUCAUCCGCAUUAUUGAGAGGAGUCUGAUGUCAGUGUGCAGCUGUAGAAAGCUCAGUUCUCAGUUCAGUCUCUUCUGCGUAUGAAUGUGAAGCUGAGCUGACAGUGCACCUCGGCUCUCACAGCUCCAGUGCAUCUGUCCCAACACUACCCUCCUGAUCACAACGCCCAAAUGCUCAUGUCUGAUUGUGGCUUUGCUUUUGGCCAUUAUUGCAUUUUUAUUAUGAAAGUUAAAAAUAAAACAAAACAAAUCAGUAAAUGAUUCAGUGGCAGGUUUACAUGAAAAGACUCAAAUUGACCCAGUCAGAUUUCUCCUGAUCCGUCUGUUUCUGAUGUGAUUCAUCUGAAGCUGCAGUCUGCUGUCAAACAUCAUCAUUUGCUGGAUCUUUAUUAAAAAACACACAAAUGGCAAAUCUUCUUCUCUGACUGAUGGACGAAUAUGUGCAACAGCCACCCAAAAAAUAAAUAAAUAAAAUAAAUAGAAAAUAAAUGAAUAAAAAUGAACACUUGCAUUUGGUCAAAAUGAUAAAUUUUUCUUUAAUACCGAAAAUCAUAAGAAUAUUAAGUAAUGAUCAUGUUCCAUGAAGAUAUUUUAUACAUUUCCUACCAUAAAUAUAUAAAAACGAACUUAUUAACUACACACAGUGAUUGGCUGAUAGUCUAUGUCAGAUUUAUUUAAGGAAAUAUUGUAGAGUGCAAUAUUAUGUUGCCACAAUCAAAUAAAGAUUUUAAAUUGCAGGCUAAGUGUGACUAAUUAAACAAGUGUAUGUUCAGUUAAAUGUCAGUUUAAUGUGUGCUUCUUGUAAACAGUUAGCAGAUAUGCAUAUAAACAGUUUUUUAAUUAACAGAGGGGAAUAAUCAUAUCUGAUAGACAUGUAGACGUAAAAGAGAAGCAAACUGGACUCGAGAACAGCUGUUACUUCUUCUCAGCUGGUGAAUGAAAACAAGAAUAUAAUCACAGGAACAUUUGGAGUUGGGAUAACCUCCAAAACCAAAGGUGAUACCUGUUUAACAGCUCAUUAUCAUCAAAUGUUUCUAAAAUGUUUCUGUUCUGAGGCAGAUUGCUUUACCAGCUAUUUUAGGAGAGUUUGUGGUUUAAACUCUUCGCUGCUCCUAAUGUUUCACAGAUUUAGGGUUUAGAGCUAAAAGGCUUUGUGUGUGAUACUCUUGCUGAAAUGUGUAUGAAGACAGUGAGUGCUGUGUGUGUUCGUGAUGAACUGCUCCUUCAUCUCACACACACUGCAUCAGGUGUGUUUGGAUCAGGCUUGAACACUCUUUCUCUGUUUCAGUUCAAAGUGUUGUGAAAAUCUGCAUUGCUUCUGUUUCCAUUGCAAAUGAGCCCAAAUGGUUAAACCGCACCGCUGUGGUGAUGAAGGAACUACACAUGUGUAAUGCACGGGGAAUCAGCAGUCUACAGAUUACUCACUUUUAUCAGAAUAAAACUCCUCCUGACCUUAAAGUGACCAGCCAGUAAAUGACAUCAUGCAUGGGAAUAAAGCAGAUCAUCUUAAAGGGGAAGUACAACAAACCAUUGUUUACUCCCCCAAACCUUUCCAGUUUCUCUCUUCUGUGGAGCAUGAAAUACGAUCAUUUGAGAAACUUCUGUUUUAUUGUCCAUACAAUGAAAGUCAAGUGUACCCAAAUGGUGACCAAAUCUGUUGACCAUCAUUCUGCAAAAUAUCUUCUUCUUUUUGUUCUGCAGAAGAUGACCUGUCCCUUUAAGAGACCUUUCACUAAGCUUACAGUCGCUAACUUUGCAGAACGUUCACAGAAGUGUAUUGCUCAGUAAAAUGUGCUGAUGAAGUGAUAAAGAUGGAUGAGAUGUUAUUCCUGGACUGAAGUGAACUGUGACAUCGUGAAGCAUUUAUAUCUACUGUUUACUGAUUACAGUUUUUUCAGCGGCUUACACACAACAUCUUUCCUUGUCACACAGUUUCUGAAAGCUGUCAGUCAAACAGCAGAAGCACACACCAGAUCUAAAACAUACACUCAUUCUCAGACUUUGACUCAGUUUUCAGUUUUAUAAAGCACACAACACACACAUCUAGCAGGAGUAUAUAUUAUGGCAAAGGUGUUUGCAAAUGUUUGUGAUGGUGUGCUUGUGUUGUUGAAUGCACUGCUUCAUUUUGCAAGAGAUGUGUGGCAUUUUGCAUUUUUUGUGUGCAAUUCUUUGAUUUGUGUGUAAAGUUUUGAAAGAAAAAAGGCAUUGGAAAACUACAGUAAAACACGUCAGAGUGUGAAUCAGAAUGGAGAAUCAGUUCUCGGUCACUGAAAAGAGAAAAGCCUCAUUUGACAGCAGUGUCAAGAGACCAAACACAGACUUGCGUCAGAAAAGAGUAAAAACUUCUCUCAGAAAUUAUGAAUUGCAAUAGUUGCUAAGUGAGGACUGGCGUGUAAUGAGUUAUUAUAGUGUACAAGCAUUUUUAACAUGAAUAUAUGAAUACAUAAAAGCUGGAGUCUAAUGAACUACAAAAAUGAGUGUUUAUCGUGAUGUAAGGCAUUUG
rnacentral:lncRNA from 1 species